rnacentral:lncRNA from 1 species
AAAGAAAAAAGGUGACAACUAGGGUACCCAUGGAAAAAUGGUGGGUAAUUUACCCCAACCAAUACAUAUUAGCCACAUAAACACAUUUUUAAGUGGUAUCCAUGAACUAUCUUGACCCCACCAACAAAUUGCUCAUUUUCAUUAGUUGGUGGGUAAAUUAUCCACCAUUCUUCAAAGGUAAUCUAAAAAAAACCAAGAAAAAAAAAACACGUGAUGUCUUCCUCUCCUUCACGUUCUAUCUUCCUCCCUCACACUUCUCUGGAAAUCACUCUCUUUCCACCACACAAACUCAAAUCCUCACAUUUUUCACCUUCAAUUUUUCAGAUUUCUCUUCUUUUUGCGUUUUCUUGCUUGACAUCGAAAAGAUUUUGAAGUGAAUUUCAGAUCCAGUGCAGUUUAUUUUCAAUUUUGAUGAAGAGAUAUGAGAAAUUCCACUGCGAUAUUUAUCAUUCUUCAUAAUUAAUUCUUGGAGGUUACAGGCUAGCAAAGCUCAAAUACUUGGAACCACAGGCCACCAAAUCCACCGACCCUUCCUCGUAUAUCUUUCUCAAAUGAGUUUCUUUGUCUCCAUUAAACUUAUUGCAGCAACUACUAUCGAGGCUAUAGUAUUGUGGAACUUGGACAAAGAAAGACGAAUAACAAUUGUGGAAAAACAAUGAUCGAAGAAAAAUCAAAAAAGGAAGGGGGUAAUCUUCAGUAAUUACCCUAAUUUGGUUUCUAAUUAUUUUUUUUACAAGUAAUUGCUCACUAAAUUUCAGUAUUUGCAAUCCCUUGAUACUAACUGUUUUUGUGAAAUCCCUUGCUCACUAAAUUGCUCACUAAAUUAUGGAGGAGUCGUGUGUUGUAACCUAUAAUUUGAUGAAUGUCAGUUUUUAUUUAUUUUUGUUGUUGUAUUUUUUGGAUUGUGGUUGAGAAUAUGAUAAAGAUGUUAAGAAGAUGAUUUCUGAGUUUGUGUUUGGUGGUUUUUGUGUUUUUGGUGAAUGAUGAAUAUUAAUGGUGAAAAGAUGAAUUUGCUGGGUGGAUGAUGAAUAUGAUGGUGUUUAUGAAUGAAGCACGUGACCUUUCCUUUUU